GCUGGAGACACAGGCUCAGCUCUGAGGCCUCCCCUGCAACCACGUCACAGCUGAGCCUGUGCAUGGACACACCCUGUGUGUGGACCCACGCUGGGCGGUCGAUGCCAGGAUGGCCACUCUCUCACUGUCCUGUCAGGUUGGCAUCUGUGUUCACCAGCUGUCUGCGCUGGUUGGCAGACGCCCCUGGGAGGUCCUCCCCUGGAACACGUGGGCCCGUGGCUCACAGACCCACAACGGAGUGUCUGGCGGGCUGUGAGGUGGCAUCCUGCUCGGGUCCCGGCUCUCCUGGGUGAAGGCUCCUGCCUUGGGCUCCUCCCCUGCAGGUGGGGACAGUGGUAAUGGCACCUCCCACAGUCCCUGGGAGGUGAGUGAGGCCAUGUGCUUGGAGCUCCGAGGACACUAUGGGGUCCCUGGCCAGAGCAGCCCGCAGCUGACACAGAGGCCAGGGCUGGAUCAUCUCCUGAGAUCCAUUUAAUUGCUGGACACAGGGUGGACAUUAUCAUGUUGAAAAGUUUAAUUUCAUGCUAAGUCACAUGAAAAAUGUCUUCUGAGAACUCCUGUCUGAGGGGCUGCCCCAAGUGGCCAGCGUGGCUCAACAGUGUCCUGGGCUGUUUCCAGGAGCUGCUUGUCUUCAGCUUGUACCCAGUGGAUGGGCUGGGCUGCCGUCUCCCCAGCCAAUGUCCUCUGUGUCCCUGGGCCUCAGUAUCCUGCCAGAGGGUGACACUCAGACAAUAGGAGGAAGCUGCCCAGCGAGGAUUCAGGAAACCAAAUCAGCUGACUAGAGAGGGAGAAGCAGAGGAGGAGACGCAGAAAUGUGGACCAGAGACAGCUGGAGACCGGGGGGCACUGAGGCAUCAGGUGCUGGGAGACGUCAGGGCCAGAGGUCGACUAGGCCGCGUGCCAGAGCACCUCCAGGAAGGGAGACGGAGGUGGAGGGGAGGCCGAGGGGCGCGCUCAGCCACCCCUUCCUCGGGGCCCUGGGCUUCCAGCACAGGUGGGAAGAGGUUGCAGCGGGUUGUGAGAGCAGCACUGGGCAUUUGGAUUUCGCCACUCCAGGGGCAGGGGACCAUCGGCAUUGGAGCCCGGGUUUGGGAAGCAGGGAGCCGGAGGUCGUUCAUCCCUCGCCUUUGCCUCUGCCAGCUGCACUGUAGCCAGGGAGAGGUUCUCUGGUCCACCUGCCUGGACCCAGCCCCUCUGGGACAGUUUUACCUGCUGCAAGCUUCUCUACUGACGAGAAGCAUGUUCAGGAGGCGGUCAUACCUCCUGAAGGGGAGCUGGACGGAUGGGGACAUUUUAUACCUUUGCAUUUUCUGCAUAUUGGGCUGCGUGAGGAAGUUAUUGAUGGACACAGGGCAGUGCGACUUUAGGGAGCAGUGCCGUGCUGCAGCUUGCUCGUCUGCCCCGGGCCCACACGGAGCUGCCCCUCUGUGCUGGUUGCACACAGACCCAGGAGAGAGCAGCUGGGUUCUUCAGCACCCCCCACCUCCGGGCUGACCCUGUCCCUGCCACAGCUCCUCUAGCACUUGGUCCCUGGUUGCCUUUCGUGGGCAACCUGCAGCCCGGGUUCCAGAACCACAGGUAACACGCCCGUCUCCCCGGGCUGGUGGGGGGCUGCAGCCCUUCUUGCUCCACGGGUCUUUUUCCAAGUCACACAGAGCAGCAAGUGCUCCAGUCAGAAGCCCCCCGUGAGGACCAAGGUGGCCUGCUUCAGCUGAUGCCCUCCAGGCUUCCUGCUUACUCGACCCUUACUUGUACCUUCUCCAUUAUGUGAUGAUCCACGGGGCUUUUUAAAAAUCAGUUUCUCUUAAAUUCUCGCCCACUGCUCAAUGUGUUAAGAUCAUUAAUUCCCAAGAGCAGAGGUGAUACCUAUUCCACCUUUGCAUUCCCAGGACAAUCCUUGUAAAUAUUGCAUGCCAGAUUACCACUCCUGGACGUGGAGUGGCUGUCACAGAUGUGGAAUGGUAUACGCACUGAGGCCACAGGACACCUUGGUGGAGCACUCCGCUGCCACCUGAAGACAGACCGCUGGUUCCUCCAGGGUAGCUGGGGGAAUAGCCUCUAUUGCCCCACCUGUGAGAUGAAGGGCAGUCUUGGUGGCCUGUGGGGGCCCCUCCACUGCUAAUUACCCAGUUACUGGCAUUCUGGGUCAGUAUUAUUUUUUUUCUCAUUUUUUAAUUUGUUAGGAAAAAAAAAAAUGAGUGACUGGGAAAGGUUGGCUUGCAGCCUGAUGCAGUAACUGGCUGAUCUUGCCCUCUCCAGGCCAAAGCCUGCAGCCCUGGAGAGAACCUGAGAAGACCCCGACUCAGACGGGGGACAGCGGAUAGCCCAGGACGUGGUCUGAGGAGAAGGAAGGAGGGCCAUGCUGGGGCUGUUCCUGCUCUGUGAGAAUUCAGCUCCCUCCCCGGGGGAGGCACCAGGCAGAAGAGGGGUCUUGCCAGGUUGAGAAGACAGAGGCGGACCCUGGCUGAGCUGGGUGCCUGGACUUUGCAGAGAAGAGAGUGGGGAGUCAUGUAGAAAGAACUCCAGGAAUCCACACAAGCACAGGACGGAAUCCCACCACUUAGGCGAAGCUGUAAACUGAAACUUUCCAGAACUUGCAAACACACUAGAUUCCUGUCAAGCCCAAGAAAAGAGACACAAGAAAAAAAUGGGAGGAUUAAGUAUGGAUCCUAAAAGGGGCAUCGCUUAGGAGAGGCGCUGCCUUAGCCUCGGAGUAGAUGCCACCCCAACCUGCCCUAGUGGCCCUAAAACCAGGUAUGGAAAGGGUGGAGUUACCCUGUUACUCAAAACAGUACAGCGUUCUCAAGAGGGGAAGAUGGUGCAGACAUUCAGCAGUCACCACCACGAUGUUCAGCAGCCCUCAAACCUCACCAGACACCGGAAGCCCAGGAGGUGACUCGAGGCCAGGAGCCAAGCUGGUCCACGUGUGCUCUCCGCAGAGAGAGGGUGGAGUCCGCCUUCGGAAUGUCCAAGCAGCAGUUUAGAUACAAUUAGGGAAGGAAGGAANUGGUGAAGACGGGGGGGGAAGACCCUGCGGGCUGCGCUGGGCGUGUGGGUAGCACAGCACCCUGCAGAGUGGGUGGGGGUCCUUGGAACCCAGGCGGGGGCCACCACCUGCCCAGCUGAGCCACUCCAGGCCCUGCUCACCACUGUGGAGGUGUGGAACCAGGCAGGAGUGGACACAACAGUGGCCUGUAUGCUGCCACACACACGCCACACCACGUGCAAGGCAGUGUCACCUAGACACACACCACACCCCACACACACACCAGGUACACACACCACACCACACAGUGUACACCAUGUCCCACACUCAGGUCACAUACACACACCACACCAGUCACAUCCUAGACACACACAACACACACACACCACACCAUGAACGAGGCAGUCUCAUCUAUGUAGACACCACACAUGCACCAGGUACACACACCACACACACAGUGUACACCGUGUCCCACACUCAGGUCACAUACACACACCACACCAGUCACGUCCUAGAUACACACACAUACCACACACACACCAUACCACGUGCGAGGCACUCUCACCUACAUACACACCACACACACCAGGUACACACACCACACCAUACACUAUAGACCAUGUCCCACACUCAGGUCACAUCCACACCCCACACCACGCAAACCACAUACAAAACCACACAACGUCCACCAUAUACCACACACCGUGUACCACGCAUGUGACUCACACACACACCACACGCCCAACACACAUACCUCACUCUACGCACACUUCACAUACAUACAGACACACCCCGCAGUAAUAAGGGACCCAGGAAUAAGCUCCGGGCAGCGGGGGUCAGGGCCGCAGAGACGCUGUCCAGGUGGCGUGUGGAGCCAGACAAGAACAAGCGUCGUCCUCCAAAACAGGGCUCUGGUUCCGGAAGAGCAAGGCCGCCCUGGCCCACGCAGUUCCGCGCCCUGUGCUCUAUAUUUCGGCACAGGAAAGCAUGUUGAUUUCCUUACCACCCUGGGGCUUGGAGCCCAGCCGUCUGCCCUUCUGGAUGUGGGGAAGGCUGCUGAACUCGGCUGGGCACUCUGGGGCUGACCAGCAGCUCGCCUCACUUGGUUUUGGUGCCGUGGACGGCCCCUGGGCCUCUGCUGUGCUUCCCCGUGGAGGACUGCAGCCCUCAGACCCUUCUCCAUGUGAGCCUGGGAGCAUUCGCCUCUCACAAGCUCCCCACUGUGAGGCUCAGCCAGACCCCACCUGGGGGCACAGGCCAUGAAUGACCUAGGUACACACCACACCAGUCAUGUCCUAGACACAGCCCUCCAGGACAUCCCCGGCAGACCCGGUCGUGGGACCCCAGGGAGCUUGCAGCACGCCCCGCACCUCCUCCCAGCUGGGCCACUACAGAUCACACCCAGAAGUUCAGAGGGUUGUGAAGGUUCACAGGAAUGGCCAGACCUGGGGAGAGAGGAGCAGGUGGGUGUGUUGGGAGCAACCCCAGGACCAGGCGGAAGCAGCCCCUGGCCCAGAGCGGACCCUCCUGGGGUCCAGGCAGAAGGGCUUCCCGGGAGCCAAUGCCGUGGCUCUGGCCCCCCACAGAGGUCCUGCUACAGAGGCUCUUCGCCCAGCAGCCCACCAUGCUGAAGAUUUCUUUCUGCCCCUAAGUUCUUUCUUUCCCUUUUUUUCCUUUGAGCUUAUAUUUAGGUGAUCAUUAUGUUUUCCUUUUAAAAUUUCUUAAUAUGAUAAAUUACAUAUAAACCAAC
rnacentral:lncRNA from 1 species